CCUACGGGUGGCAGCAGUGGGGAAUAUUGCACAAUGGGGGAAACCCUGAUGCAGCAACGCCGCGUGAGUGAAGAAGUAUUUCGGUAUGUAAAGCUCUAUCAGCAGGGAAGAGAAUGACGGUACCUGACUAAGAAGCCACGGCUAAAUACGUGCCAGCAGCCGCAGUAAUACGUAGUGGGCAAGCGUUAUCCGGAUAUACUGGGUGUAAAGGGAGCGUAGAUGGCUGUACAAGUGUGAAGUGAAAGCCCGUGGCUCAAUCGCGGAACUGCUUUGGAAACUGUAAAACUGGAGUACUAGAGAGGCAGGCGGAAUUCCUAGUGAAGCGGUGAAAUGCGGAGAUAUUAGGAAGAACACCAGGGGCGAAGGCGGCCUGCUGGACAGAAACUGACGUUGAGGCUCGAAAGCGUGGGGAGCAAACAGGAUUAGAUACCCCAGUAGUC
rnacentral:rRNA from 1 species